UCAGCAUUCAGCCUGCUUUCUUACACAACCCAAGACCUCUCAUGCCCAGGGGUGGCACUGCACCACAGUGCACACUGACACAGCCAGAAGAGGGUGUUAGAUCCCAUUACAGAUGGUUGUGAGCCACCAUGUGGUUGCUGGGAAUUGAACUCAGGACCUGGAAGAGCAGUCAGUGCUCCUAACCACUGAACCAUCUCUCCAGCCUGUGUUUCUUUCUUAAAUGAUUGGAACUCCCCUUGCCAAGGAAGUGAAGAAAUGAAAAUCUCAUAGAGAAUAUCAGAGUUUCUGACACAGUGCAUUUCCCCCUGUGGGAUAGGCUCGCAAAGGUGGGUCCAUGAUGGGAAGGAUGUGUCAAAAUAGGCAAAGCACACAGAAUAUUAUCCUGCCUCAAAAUAUACCCCCAACUCCUUCAGUAAAUUUUCACACGCUGAUAAGGUCUCUGUGUUCAUAAAAAUAUGAUUACAUUAAAUUUACUGAGCCCAGCAUUGUUCCUGCUCCUUUCAGAAUCCAACUGCUUAAUUUGCAAUACAUUUAUUUCAAUUUAGCAAACCUUGUAUCUCUCCAUUCAAGGCACCAUGCUAGUGGCUGAGAUGUACCAUUGGACAGGACACUCUGCAUGCUCACAUUGCCCACAGCUUCCUUCAAAGCAAGCUGCCAGCUCCUUAUGCAAAGGCCAUCUGAGGUACAAACAAAUAUGUUGGAUCUAUGCAGGGUGCCAUUAACCGUGGGUAGAGAGCGAGAUGGAAUUAACCAGUGAGACACUGGGAACAGGAUUUGAGGCAUAUACAGUUUCCUUUGGCAAAGAAAGGCAUACCACCAAGAAGGAGGAAAAAAAAAAGUGUGAGAACGUGGAGGCUUGCCAUUUCCAGAGUCAGAAUGACUGUAAGUAUCAUGGAUGAAGCUUGGGGCAGGAAGAUAGUGAGAGACAGACUGGGUCAUAUGGUGACAUGAAUUUGGGCCUAUUUGGCUGCCAUGAGAACUCAUGGCAACGUAUCUAUGUUUGUGAAAGUCAAUGGCAAGAAAAGGAUUAUAGUUUGCCCUUAUGGG
rnacentral:lncRNA from 1 species